GAGACGACGCUGGCGGCGUGCUUAACACAUGCAAGUCGAACGAUGAAGCUGGAGCUUGCUCCGGUGGAUUAGUGGCGAACGGGUGAGUAACACGUGAGUAACCUGCCCUUGACUCUGGGAUAACUGCUAGAAAUGGUAGCUAAUACCGGAUACGACCCUCGGCGGCAUCGCCAGGGGGUGGAAAGAAUUUCGGUCAAGGAUGGACUCGCGGCCUAUCAGCUAGUUGGUGAGGUAACGGCUCACCAAGGCGACGACGGGUAGCCGGCCUGAGAGGGUGACCGGCCACACUGGGACUGAGACACGGCCCAGACUCCUACGGGAGGCAGCAGUGGGGAAUAUUGCACAAUGGGCGCAAGCCUGAUGCAGCAACGCCGCGUGAGGGAUGACGGCCUUCGGGUUGUAAACCUCUUUUAGUAGGGAAGAAGCGAAAGUGACGGUACCUGCAGAAAAAGCACCGGCUAACUACGUG
rnacentral:rRNA from 1 species